rnacentral:rRNA from 1 species
GACGAAUGCUGGCGGCGUGCCUAAUACAUGCAAGUUGAGCGAUGAAGAUUGGUGCUUGCACCAAUUUGAAGAGCAGCGAACGGGUGAGUAACGCGUGGGGAAUCUGCUUUUGAGCGGGGGACAACAUUUGGAAACGAAUGCUAAUACCGCAUAACAACUUUAAACAUAAGUUUUAAGUUUGAAAGAUGCAAUUGCAUCACUCAAAGAUGAUCCCGCGUUGUAUUAGCUAGUUGGUGAGGUAAAGGCUCACCAAGGCGAUGAUACAUAGCCGACCUGAGAGGGUGAUCGGCAACAUUGGGACUGGGACACGGCCCAAACUCCUACGGGAGGCAGCAGUAGGGAAUCUUCGGCAAUGGACGAAAGUCUGACCGAGCAACGCCGCGUGAGUGAAGAAGGUUUUCGGAUCGUAAAACUCUGUUGGUAGAGAAGAACGUUGGUGAGAGUGGAAAGCUCAUCAAGUGACGGUAACUACCCAGAAAGGGACGGCUAACUACGUGCCAGCCGCCGCAGUAA